rnacentral:lncRNA from 1 species
GGAUAUGAAAUAAUAGUAGUUAUUACAUGGGUAUUGAGAUUAAGGAUGAGGACUGCUUUUCUAUUUUUUCCAAAAUGCCUAUAUAAAUAUAAUUUACUUUUGUAAUGAGGAAAUUUUUUCAUGUGUCUUUUGGCUGCAUAAAUGUCUUCUUUUGAGAAGUGUCUGUUCAUAUCCUUUGCCCAUAUUUUUCUUUUUUUAUAGAGAUGGGGU